rnacentral:rRNA from 1 species
AGUGGCGAACGGGUGAGUAACACGUUGGUGACCUGCCCCGAGGUGGGGAAUAACUGUGGGAAACCACGGCUAAUACCCCGGAUGUUAAAGAGUUUAGACAUCUUUAACUAAAGUUCCGGCGCCUCGGGAGGGGCCUGCGGGCUAUCAGCUUGUUGGUGGGGUAACGGCCUACCAAGGCUAAGACGGCUAGGGGGCGUGAGAGCGCGACCCCCCACAAUGGAACUGAGAAACGGUACAUACUCCUACGGGAGGCAGCAGUGAGGAAUAUUGCACAAUGGGGGAAACCCUGAUGCAGCAACGCCGCGUGAACGAUGAAGGCCUUCGGGUUGUAGAGUUCUUUUCUGGGGGACGAUAGUGACGGUACCUCAGGAAUAAGUCCCGGCUAGCUACGUGCCAGCAGCCGCGGUAGAACGUAGGGGGCGAGCGUUAUCCGGAUUUAUUGGGCGUAAGGCGCAGGUAGGCAGCGUUGUAGGUUGGACGUGAGAGCUCCCGGCUCAACUGGGAGAGGUCGUUCAACACUACAGUGCUCGAGGUUGGAAGAGGAGAGUAGAAUUCCAGGUGUAAUGGUGGAAUGCGUAAA